GCGGAAAGUGGCGAAAUCGAUAGACGCGCCAGACUCAAAAUCUGGUUCCGGCAACGGAGCGCGGGUUCGGGUCCCGCCGCCCGCGCCA
rnacentral:tRNA from 2 species